rnacentral:rRNA from 1 species
GACGAACGCUGGCGGCGUGCUUAACACAUGCAAGUCGAACGGAAAGGCCCUGCUUUUGUGGGUUGCUCGAGUGGCGAACGGGUGAGUAACACGUGAGUAACCUGCCCUUGACUUUGGGAUAACUUCAGGAAACUGGGGCUAAUACCGGAUAGGAGCUCCUGCCGCAUGGUGGGGGUUGGAAAGUUUCGGCGGUUGGGGAUGGACUCGCGGCUUAUCAGCUUGUUGGUGGGGUAGUGGCUUACCAAGGCUUUGACGGGUAGCCGGCCUGAGAGGGUGACCGGCCACAUUGGGACUGUGAUACGGCCCAGACUCCUACGGGAGGCAGCGGUGGGGAGUAUUGCGCAAUGGGCGGAAGCCUGAUGCAGCAACGCCGCGUGCGGGAUGACGGCCUUCUGGUUGUAAACCGCUUUCGCCUGUGACGAGGCGUGAGUGACGGUAAUGGGUAAAGAAGCACCGGCUAACUACGUG